UUAAAAAAAAUACCCUUCCUGCAGCAACCAUCUUCACGUAAUCCUAAUCAGCCAACAAGAAAAGUGCCAGAGCGAUUCGUGUACCAACCACUGAAACAGCAACUAACAUCGGCCAUGAAAAAAGUACCGCCAACAACAUCCUUACCUGUGCAGCCAACCACUCUCACAUCUACCGUAGUGCAACCAGCAAUGCCACAGCCGACCAAGCCACUUCCGACAGAACCAUUUCCACCAGAACCACUUCCGAUAGACCCAAGUAGCAACCGAAGCUUUUUUCUCCCAGUUUCAACCCCCUCAUGUCCACAAACUGCCUUCGCUUACUAUUCCUAUCCCGUUUCUACAUUCCACAACGUUUGUUGCGUUCUCGCUCAUCAGGGUGUUAGUCAAUUCUCUCUUGCCACACGAAGAGAAUUCUCCUGCACACUUCGUGUGUUGGAUUCUACCCAUCCCUGUUGAACACACGUCAUUUUCUUCCAUCGCACUCAUCAGGGUGUUUGCUCUUUUGCAUCCAAACCAAAGAGCGACUUCAGUGUACUCUGAACCGUGGAUGUGAGAGUGUGUGUUUGUGUGCUGCGUGAACUAUUUUUCCUGCGUGAAACACUUUCCAUACUGCGCCAUCCGCGGUGUUCUUUCUGCUUCAUCGGAGGACGAAUUUUUAUCAUCUAAUUGUUUGGUUUCAGAUGUGUGCUGCUACCGCUAGCUGUUCCUCAAACUACUUAAAAAGUGUGACACUAUGUGCACAGGCGUUCAAGUUUCAAUUGAUCCUCAAGCACAAAGCCUUCAUACAACACCGCGGUUGAGGCGCGCCAAAUCUGAUGACAUCUUUCCUGAACCAAGCAGGCUGAACACGCGCACCACCACGGGCUCCAGCGCGGUGUGAAGAGGGAAGAAGAAAAGGCAGAAUUGGAAACAGCCGCACCAGGCUUCCAACCACCGUGUGUGUGUAUGUAAGUAUGUGAGAACACAUGUGUGAAUCCUCUUGUGGGAACUGCAAAAAGAAGAGAAUAAAGAGUGUGAAGCAGCUAGACUGCCGCAACCAAA